rnacentral:rRNA from 1 species
UACGGAGGGUGCAAACGUUGUCCGGAAUCACUGGGCGUAAAGCGCAUGUAGGUGGUUUAGUAAGUGGAAGAUUAAAGACCGAUGCUUAACAUCGGACCGGUUUUCCAUACUGCUAGACUGGAGUAUGGCAGGGGUAAGCGGAACUUUAGGUGUAGGAGUGAAAUCCGUAGAUAUCUAAAGGAACACCAAAUGGCGAAGGCAGCUUACUGGGCCAUUACUGACACUGAGAUGCGAAAGUGUGGGGAGCAAACAGGG